rnacentral:misc_RNA from 1 species
AAGUUGUAACAAGGUUUCCGUAGGUGAACCUGCGGAAGGAUCAUUAACAAAUCCAUAUUUUAUGCCGCAAGGCGUAGAUAUAAAUUCGCUUGGCUGGCGCAAGCUGCCAAGUUGAAAGAUUGUGUGUAUAUAUUCUUCUUCUUCUUUGAUGAUGAUAUAUAUAUAUAAAUGUAUGUGUAGUGUAGACAAGUGUGUGUAAAAACAAAAAAUAAUUGACAACUUUUAACAAUGGAUCUCUAGGCUCUU